rnacentral:tRNA from 1 species
GUAAGUGUAGUUUAAUCAAAAUAUCAGAUUGUGAUUCUGGAGACAGGGGUUAGAACCCCCUUACUCACC